UGACGCACUGUGGGAGAACCUCCGUUGUUCGGAGGCGCCGUAGGAGCAACUCCUCCCCGGGAAUCUCUCAGGCCCAAUACCGCAGUGUCGAG
rnacentral:ncRNA from 2 species